CACAAAGUUGUACUUGAUCAAGAUGGCUGAUAUGAAGAAGCUUAUAUUGAACAUUGCUUUGCUGUUUGUUCUUCUUUUCUCCAGUGAAGUCGCGGCUAGGGUGCCAGCAUUUUGGAUGUCUGAUCAUCACAUAACACGUAAAAUUGGCCGCGUUGCUGAUAUUCCUCAAGGCCACAACUAUCGUCAUGGUUAGAACUAGUCAAAGUAUUAGCUCUUAUGAAGAACCUUGUGGCCAAGAGAUUAUUGUGAAAGAAUGCAUGGAGGAGAGACGUCUUAUUCUUAAUUUUUAUGCAAAUCAUGAUAUCCCUUAUUGUUUCAUUAUCCAAUGAAAAAAAAAUGCCAGACUCAUAAAAUUCAUCUGGAUGAUCCUCGGAACCACCAUUAUCAUCGCCCAUAGACUCAAGCGUAUGUUUUGAAGAAGCUUAUAAUGGCCUAGAGAUAUUAUUGAGAAAGAAUACAUGGGAGAGGGAUUUCCUAUUGAUGUUGUCAAUAUAUAUAUAUAUAUAUAUAUAUUCAAUAAUUUGUCACAUCCCAAAAA